ensembl:snRNA U6 U6 spliceosomal RNA
CUACUCACUUUGGCAGCACAUAUACUAAAAUUAGAGUGAUACACAGAUUAGCAUGGUCCCUGCUCCAGGAUGACAUGCAAAUUUGUGAAGUGUUUCAUACGUUC